rnacentral:tRNA from 1 species
GCUAAUGUAGCCUAACUUAAAGCAUGACGCUGAAAAUGUUAAGAUGAGUCUUAAAAAGCUCCAUGAGCA